rnacentral:rRNA from 1 species
UGGGGAAUUUUGGACAAUGGGGGAAACCCUGAUCCAGCCAUCCCGCGUGUGCGAUGAAGGCCUUCGGGUUGUAAAGCACUUUUGGCAGGAAAGAAACGUCAUGGGUUAAUACCCCGUGAAACUGACGGUACCUGCAGAAUAAGCACCGGCUAACUACGUGCCAGCAGCCGCGGUAAUACGUAGGGUGCAAGCGUUAAUCGGAAUUACUGGGCGUAAAGCGUGCGCAGGCGGUUCGGAAAGAAAGAUGUGAAAUCCCAGAGCUCAACUUUGGAACUGCAUUUUUAACUACCGGGCUAGAGUGUGUCAGAGGGAGGUGGAAUUCCGCGUGUAGCGGUGAAAUGCGUAGAUAUGCGGAGGAACACCGGUGGCGAAGGCAGCCUCCUGGGAUAACACUGACGCUCAUGCACGAAAGCGUGGGGAGCAAACAGG